rnacentral:rRNA from 1 species
CGGGUGAGUAACGCGUGGAUAACCUGCCUCACACAGGGGAGUAACAGUUAGAAAUGACCGCUAAUACCGCAUAAGCGCACGGUACCGCAUGGUACAGUGUGAAAAACUCCGGUGGUGUGAGAUGGAUCCGCGUCUGAUUAGGUAGUUGGUGAGGUAACGGCCCACCAAGCCGACGAUCAGUAGCCGACCUGAGAGGGUGACCGGCCACAUUGGGACUGAGACACGGCCCAA